rnacentral:lncRNA from 1 species
CCUCAGCCUCCUGAGAAGCUGGGACUACAGACGCGUGCCACCAUGCCUGGCUAAUUUUUAACUUUUUUUUUUGUCAAGAUGGGGGUCUCCCUAGGUUGCCCAGGCUGAUCUCGAACCCCUGGGCUCAAGAGAUCCUCUCGCCUCAGCCUCCCUAAGUGCUGGGAUUACAGGUGUGGGCCACGGCGCUCGGCCAAGCGGCAGCUUCACCAAUGACUUGAAUGUGAAGCAGAAGGAUUCCGAGAAGAAACGGAGCCGUCACAAAUGCAUUUCGACCAGUUGGGUGACUCCAGACCCAGAGCCGGGCGGACAGCACCUGUUUUCUGUCUUCUCGCGUCAGCUGUUUCUUCGUGUCUUCAGAAGGUGGGCCCUUCUGGAAUCGGGUCCAGCGUGGGCGCUUGGGCCUCCGCUGACGAGUAUGGACAGCGGCCAGGGACGCUCGCCCCUCCACUCUCAUUCCAAGGCCCCCUUCCCAGGGCCCAAAGCUGGGGCAUGACAGGGUGGCAAUGGGAUUGGGGAGUCUCUUGGCCAACUGCAAGUGGCUUUCGACACCCCCAAUCCCAGCUGAGUUGUCAGACCAGGCAGACUGCGUGGCCGGGAAACUGGCCCCUGGCACUGUGGAGUGGUGCUGGGGCUGAGCACCACUGCCCCACCGGCACUGCUACCCAGGGUCUCUGCCCUCCAAGGGACGUGGUCCCUGACAGAGGCUGUGCCAGCCUCAUCUUUGAGCCUUCACCCCUUCCAAGCCUCACCAGAAUUUGUUGCCGAAAAUCAACAACAGAAAGGCAGUGAAAGAAGACAGAUCCAUGAUCUGCCUGUGGCCUGGCUGCCCGUGGGCCAGGAUGCCUGCUGUGACCACCAGGGAGACACAGGGACCAACGUCCUUUGUGAAGGAUGCAGGCACUGGCUUUGCAGAGCCGCCCUCCUAGCAACUUGGGGAUGGAAGGGUGGUGGGAAGCAGGACCCGCCCAGACACAGGUGUAGGCGAUUGGAAGGUGUGGGCAAGGGCCCCCUAUGAGGGCAGAGGGCCUGCUCCUGGACACCCUGGCACAUCCCAAAUAUACACCAGGCACCAGGGGAGUGGCCCACUCAACCCGUGAGGAAAUGGACUCAGACCCGGACUCCAGAGUCCCACUGGAAUUGGACCCAUAAUGGCCCUGUGGUCCCCGGAGUGAGCGUCAGCUCAAACCUGGACCCAGCAGCCCUCCAGGUCUGCAGAUCCACACUAGGGAUGGAGCCAGUGUCUUGGGUCCACGUUGUGGGGCUUGGGGGACAGAAGAGGCAAGGUCAGACUAACAGCACAGCCCGGUCCCCAGUGGGCCCAACACCUGGCUCCAGUGCCUAUGGAGCUCCCCAGGGUUCUCCCCAGGACCCUGACCUCCAGUCCCCACAAGGCUGUCAGCCCCAAAGGCACACACACCCGAAGGAGCCCAAGCUGGCGCUGCGAGUCAGGCGGGAAAGGCCCGGGCUGCAGCUGCUUGCCGGGGUCACCCUUUGACUAUAAUUGAAGCGCCCAGCAGGGCAGGAGAGGACCACACAGAAGGUCAGGGCCAGAGCCACACCCAGCAGUGAGAGGAGCCCCGGGCACAGCCAGCCAGAGCCCACAAGCUUCCGGGAGGGGAGAAAGAUACCAUGAACCCAAGGAGGGGACCCAGUAGAGAAGGCCCAGCACCCAGAGUGAGAGGCAGGCUCAGUGGACCCCUGGCCCCGCCAUGCAGCCGGGCCCUCCCCACCCAGGCUGCGUGACUGAGGCCAGAGGGCCCGUGGAGAACCACUGGAGAGGCCAGUGACUGCACGAGAACGCCAGGCAACUUACUAACUCUAGUCAGGCGGCUCAGAAUCUGGCCACUUCCACAUCGGCGCUGCAAGGAAACACAAGGCUCAGUUGGAGGCAGCAUGGGGUCUGAGGACUCGGGGGUGCAGAGGAGGGGGGACCACGGGCGAGCUGCCAGGAGACCUAGAACCCUGGAGCACUCGGAGUCGGCACACAGCUGGGGCUCUGGCUCUCCCUGGACGGCGCCUGCGGAGCCUGCCUCACUUGCGGGCCUGGAGGGAGCCAGGAGCCUGCCUCAGCUGCAGACGGCCCCCCGCAGAGCCCGGGCAGAGUGAGCGACUGUCACUGGGGCCAGCACCGUGUGCAAGCCCAGGUUAUCUAGCAGGCGACUGAGUGCCGAGAAAAUACCUGGCAGAGGUGGGCACAAGGCGGGGCCCCCACGGCAAAGACGCACGCCGGGAACCGGAAGGAGGUCCAUACCCAACUCGUGCAAUAAAUAAAACUUUUAUUCAAACAAGU